rnacentral:rRNA from 1 species
GAUGAACGCUGGCGGCGUGCCUAAUACAUGCAAGUCGAGCGAACAGACGAGGAGCUUGCUCCUCUGACGUUAGCGGCGGACGGGUGAGUAACACGUGGAUAACCUACCUAUAAGACUGGGAUAACUUCGGGAAACCGGAGCUAAUACCGGAUAAUAUAUUGAACCGCAUGGUUCAAUAGUGGAAGACGGUUUUGCUGUCACUUAUAGAUGGAUCCGCGCCGCAUUAGCUAGUUGGUAAGGUAACGGCUUACCAAGGCAACGAUGCGUAGCCGACCUGAGAGGGGGAACGGCCACACUGGAAAUGAGACACGGUCCCGACUCCUACGGGGGGGAGCAGUAGGGAAACUUCCGCAAUGGGGGAAAGCCUGAGGGAGCAACGCCGCGGGGGGUAUGAAGGGCUUCGGGUCGGAAAACUCUUUUUUUGGGGAAGAAAAAAAUUGUAAAGAACUAUGGCCGUCUUGAAGGGAACUAAUCAAAAAGGCACCGCCAAAUUCGGG